UGCGCAGGCGGUUUUGUAAGACAGUGGUGAAAUCCCCGGGCUCAACCUGGGAACUGCCAUUGUGACUGCAAAGCUAGAGUGCGGCAGAGGGGGAUGGAAUUCCGCGUGUAGCAGUGAAAUGCGUAGAUAUGCGGAGGAACACCGAUGGCGAAGGCAAUCCCCUGGGCCUGCACUGACGCUCAUGCACGAAAGGCUGGGAGCAAACA
rnacentral:rRNA from 1 species